rnacentral:rRNA from 1 species
AUUGAACGCUGGCGGAAUGCUUUACACAUGCAAGUCGAACGGCAGCACGGACUUCGGUCUGGUGGCGAGUGGCGAACGGGUGAGUAAUACAUCGGAACGUGCCCAGUCGUGGGGGAUAACGUAGCGAAAGCUACGCUAAUACCGCAUACGAUCUAAGGACGAAAGCGGGGGAUCGCAAGACCUCGCGCGAUUGGAGCGGGCGAUGGCAGAUUAGGUAGUCGGUGGGGUAAAGGCUCACCAAGCCGACGAUCUGUAGCUGGUCUGAGAGGACGAGCAGUCACACUGGGACUGAGACACGGCUCAGACUCCUACGGGAGGCAGCAGUGGGGAAUUUUGGACAAUGGGCGCAAGCCUGAUCCAGCCAUUCCGCGUGCAGGAUGAAGGCCCUCGGGUUGUAAACUGCUUUUGUACGGAACGAAAAGGCUCUGGUUAAUACCCGGGGCUCAUGACGGUACCGUAAGAAUAAGCACCGGCUAACUACGUGCCAGCCGCCGCAGUAAUAC